rnacentral:rRNA from 1 species
AUUGAACGCUGGCGGCAUGCCUCACACAUGCAAGUCGAACGGCAGCACGGGAGCAAUCCUGGUGGCGAGUGGCGAACGGGUGAGUAAUAUAUCGGAACGUGCCCAGUCGUGGGGGAUAACGCAGCGAGAGCUGUGCUAAUACCGCAUACGAUCUACGGAUGAAAGCGGGGGAUCGCAAGACCUCGCGCGAUUGGAGCGGCCGAUAUCAGAUUAGCUAGUUGGUGGGGUAAAGGCCCACCAAGGCGACGAUCUGUAGCUGGUCUGAGAGGACGACCAGCCACACUGGAACUGAGACACGGUCCAGACUCCUACGGGAGGCAGCAGUGGGGAAUUUUGGACAAUGGGCGCAAGCCUGAUUCAGCAAUGCCGCGUGCAGGAUGAAGGCCUUCGGGUUGUAAACUGCUUUUGUACGGAACGAAACGGCCCUUUCUAAUACAGGGGGCUAAUGACGGUACCGUAAGAAUAAGCACCGGCUAACUACGUGCCAGCCGCCGCAGUAA